rnacentral:rRNA from 1 species
CCCGGGAACAAGGAGCUGGUAUCAGGCACACCCCCGUGUUUAGCCCAUGACACCUUGCUUAGCCACACCCUCAAGGGAACUCAGCAGUGAUAAACAUUAAGCCAUAAGUGAAAACUUGACUUAGUUAAAGCUAAGAGGGUCGGUAAAACUCGUGCCAGCCACCGCGGUUAUACGAGAGACCCAAGUUGUUAGACAUCGGCGUAAAGAGUGGUUAAGUACUAUUACUUACUAAAGCCGAACACCUUCGAAGCUGUCAUACGCACCUGAAGACAGGAAGUUCAAUCACGAAAGUGGCUUUAUACCAACUGAAUCCACGAAAGCUAGGGCACAAACUGGGAUUAGAUACCCCACUAUGCCUGGCCUUAAACAUCGAUGGCAUCUUACAACUACCAUCCGCCCGGGUACUACGAGCAUUAGCUUAAAACCCAAAGGACUUGGCGGUGCUUUAGACCCACCUAGAGGAGCCUGUUCUAAAACCGAU